GGCCUACCAUGGUAGUAACGGGUAACGGGGAAUUAGGGUUCGAUUCCGGAGAGGGAGCCUGAGAAACGGCUACCACACCCAAGGAAGGCAGCAGGCGCGCAAAUUACCCAAUCCCGACACGGGGAGGUAGUGACAAUAAAUAACAAUACAGGGCCUUUCAGGUCUUGUAAUUGGAAUGAGUACAAUUUAAAUCUCUUAACGAGGAACAAUUGGAGGGCAAGUCUGGUGCCAGCAGCCGCGGUAAUUCCAGCUCCAAUAGCGUAUAUUAAAGUUGUUGCAGUUAAAAAGCUCGUAGUUGAAUUUUAGGCCUGGCCGGGCGGUCCGUCUUUGGCGAGUACUGUCUGCUGUCGGGUCUUCCUUCUGGUGAACCAGCAUGUCCUUAAUUGGGUGUGUUGGGGAGCCAGGACCAUUACCUUGAAAAAAUUAGAGUGUUUAAAGCGGGCUAUUGCUUGAAUAGAUUAGCAUGGAAUAAUAGAAUAGGACGUUGUGGUUCUAUUUUGUUGGUUUCUAGGACCACCGUAAUGAUUAAUAGGGAUAGUUGGGGGCAUUAGUAUUCAAUUGUCAGAGGUGAAAUUCUUGGAUUUAUUGAAGACUAACUACUGCGAAAGCAUUUGCCAAGGAUGUUUUCAUUAAUCAAGAACGAAAGUUAGGGGAUCGAAGACGAUCAGAUACCGUCGUAGUCUUAACCAUAAACUAUGCCGACUAGGAAUCGGGCGACGUUAAUUUUAAUGACUCGCUCGGCGCCUUAUG
rnacentral:rRNA from 1 species